AAGGCGGGGACCCUUAGGGGCCUGUCCUUCGGGGAGGAGUCCGUAUGCCAUCAGCUUGUUGGCGGGGUAAUGGCCCACCAAGGCUUACGGCUAGCUGGUCUGAGAGGACGACCAGCCGCACUGGGACUGAGACACUGCCCAGACUCCUACGGGAGGCUGCAGUCGAGGAUCAUUCGCAAUGCGCGAAAGCGCGACGAUGCGACGCUGCGUGGAGGAUGACGGCCUUCGGGUUGUAAACUCCUGUCAUAAGGGACAAAUCGAACUGCGAUAACAUCAAAGGGAGAAGAUGGUACCUUAAGAGGAAGCCACGGCUAACUCUGUGCCAGCAGCCGCGGUAAUACAGAGGUGGCGAGCGUUGUUCGGAUUUACUGGGCGUAAAGGGCGCGUAGGCGGUACAGUAUGUCGGGUGUGAAAUCUCCAGGCUCAACCUGGAAAGUGCGCCCGAAACUGCUGAACUUGAGUGCGGGAGGGGAGAUCGGAAUACAUGGUGUAGCGGUGAAAUGCGUUGAUAUCAUGUAGAACACCGGUGGCGAAGGCGGAUCUCUGGAACGCAACUGACGCUGAGGCGCGAAAGUCGGGGGAGCAAACAGGAUGAGAUACCCUGGUAGUCCCGACCGUAAACGGUGCACACAAAGGGUUGGGGGAUUUCACCCGUCCGAGUCCGGAAGAUAACGGGUUAAGUGUGCCGCCUGGGGAGGACAGCCGCAAGGUUGAGAAGUCAAAGAAAUUGAAGGGGGCCCGCACAAGCAGAGGAGCAUGUGGUUUAAUUCGAUGCAACGCGAAGAGCCUUACCCGGGUUGGACAUAUGACUGCAACUCCCUGGAAACAGGGAUUCCUUCGAGGGUGUCAUACAGGUGCUGCAUGGCUGUCGUCAGUUCGUGCCGUGAGGUGUUUGGUUAAGUCCAGCAACGAACGCAACCCCUAUGUCCAGUUGCCAGCGCGUAAUGGCGGGAACUCUGGACAGACUGCCCGUUCACACGGGAGGAAGGUGGGGACGACGUCAAGUCAGUAUGGCCCUUACAUCCGGGGCUGCACACGUGCUACAAUGGCCGGUACAGAAGGAAGCAAUGCCGCGAGGCGGAGCCAAUCCCCAAAACCGGCCCCAGUUCGGAAAGUGGUCUGCAACCCGACCACAUGAAGUUGGAUUUGCUAGUAACGGUGCAUCAGCUACGGCGCC
rnacentral:rRNA from 1 species